GCAAACUUGGUCAUUUAGAGGAAGUAAAAGUCGUAACAAGGUUUCCGUAGGUGAACCUGCGGAAGGAUCAUUAAAGUGUCUUCGGGUAGGUCCGGCCCCCAACUCGGGGGUAGGACCGCCCGGAACGCCCACCCUUGUAUAACUAAACCAGUGUUGCCUUGGCGGGCCCGCCGGACUUGUUCCGGCCGCCGGGGGGUUGAUCCCCGGGCCCGAGCCCGCCAACGGACUUCAAUUGAACUUCUGAACUGUACGUGUCUGUCUGAGUGGUUAAGAAAUAUAAGCAAAACUUUCAACAACGGAUCUCUUGGUUCCGGCAUCGAUGAAGAACGCAGC
rnacentral:misc_RNA from 1 species